rnacentral:misc_RNA from 1 species
UAAUCCAAGAAUUUCACCUCCAACGGCAGAGUACGGACGCCCCCGUCUGUCCCUCUUAAUCAUUACCUCGCGCUCCGAAAACCAACAAAAUAGAACCGAGGUCCUAUUCCAUUAUUCCAUGCAACACUAUUCAGGAUUCGAACCUGCUUUGAACACUCUAAUUUUUUCAAAGUAAACUUCUCGGCCACCGCCGACACUCAGUCAAGAGCACCGACGGAGAACCGAAGUCGAGGCGAGCGCAGCCAGUAACACGCCCUGCGACGGACCAGCUGCACCCGCCCAAAGUCCAACUACGAGCUUUUCAACCGCAACAAAUUUAGCAUAUACUGUUGGAGCUGGAAUUACC